GACAGAGGGGGCAAGCGUUGCUCGGAAUUACUGGGCGUAAAGGGCGCGUAGGCGGAAUGGCAAGUCGGUCGUGAAAUCCUUCGGCUCAACCGAAGAACGUCGAUCGAAACUGCCGUUCUUGAGGAUUGCAGAGGAGACUGGAAUUCCCGGUGUAGCGGUGAAAUGUGUAGAGAUCGGGAGGAACGACCGGUGGCGAAGGGCGGGUCUCUGGGCAAUU
rnacentral:rRNA from 1 species